AAAUGUAUCCAAAGAAAAUAUUUGCCUGAAAUCGCUCCAGAACUCAAGCGUAUAUUAAAAAAGUACCCUAAAAUACUGCUAGAAUUGCGGGAAUCUUUUGAUUCUUUUUUAAUUGUUUUAUAUU
rnacentral:rRNA from 1 species